GUGCCAGCCGCCGCGGUAAUACGGAGGAUGCAAGCGUUAUCCGGAUUCAUUGGGUUUAAAGGGUGCGUAGGCGGCUUUUUAAGUCAGUGGUGAAAUCUUGCCGCUUAACGGUAAAAUUGCCAUUGAUACUGAUAAGCUUGAGUACAAUUGAGGUAAGCGGAAUGUGUAGUGUAGCGGUGAAAUGCUUAGAUAUUACACAGAACACCGAUUGCGAAGGCAGCUUACUAAACUGUUACUGACGCUGAUGCACGAAAGCGUGGGGAGCGAACAGGAUUAGAUACCCCCGUAGUCC
rnacentral:rRNA from 1 species